rnacentral:rRNA from 1 species
AUACGGAGGAUCCGAGCGUUAUCCGGAUUUAUUGGGUUUAAAGGGAGCGUAGGUGGAUUGUUAAGUCAGUUGUGAAAGUUUGCGGCUCAACCGUAAAAUUGCAGUUGAAACUGGCAGUCUUGAGUACAGUAGAGGUGGGCGGAAUUCGUGGUGUAGCGGUGAAAUGCUUAGAUAUCACGAAGAACUCCGAUUGCGAAGGCAGCUCACUAGACUGUUACUGACACUGAUGCUCGAAAGUGUGGGUAUCAAACAGGAUUAGAUACCCUGGUAGUCCACACAGUAAACGAUGAAUACUCGCUGUUUGCGAUAUACAGUAAGCGGCCAAGCGAAAGCAUUAAGUAUUCCACCUGGGGAGUACGCCGGCAACGGUGAAACUCAAAGGAAUCGACGGGG